rnacentral:rRNA from 1 species
UACGUAGGGGGCUAGCGUUGUCCGGAAUCAUUGGGCGUAAAGCGCGCGUAGGCGGUCCGGUAAGUCCGCUGUGAAAGUCGGGGGCUCAACCCUCGGAUGCCGGUGGAUACUGUCGGGCUUGAGUACGGAAGAGGCGAGUGGAAUUCCUGGUGUAGCGGUGAAAUGCGCAGAUAUCAGGAGGAACACCGAUGGCGAAGGCAGGUCUCUGGGCCGGUACUGACGCUGAGGAGCGAAAGCGUGGGGAGCGAACAGG